rnacentral:rRNA from 1 species
UACGUAGGCAGCGAGCGUUGUUCGGAGUUACUGGGCGUAAAGCGUGCGUAGGCGGUUUUCUAAGUCUGGUGUGAAAUCUCCCGGCUCAACUGGGAGGGUGCGCCGGAAACUGGAUGACUGGAGUGCCGGAGAGGUAAGCGGAAUUCCUGGUGUAGCGGUGAAAUGCGUAGAGAUCAGGAGGAACACCUGUGGUGUAGACAGCUUACUGGACGGUGACUGACGCUGAGGCACGAAAGCGUGGGUAGCAAACAGG